UAGGGAAUCUUCGGCAAUGGACGGAAGUCUGACCGAGCAACGCCGCGUGAGUGAAGAAGGUUUUCGGAUCAUAAAGCUCUGUUGUAAGAGAAGAACGAGUGUGAGAGUGGAAAGUUCACACUGUGACGGUAUCUUACCAGAAAGGGACGGCUAACUACGUGCCAGCAGCCGCGGUAAUACGUAGGUCCCGAGCGUUGUCCGGAUUUAUUGGGCGUAAAGCGAGCGCAGGCGGUUAGAUAAGUCUGAAGUUAAAGGCUGUGGCUUAACCAUAGUAGGCUUUGGAAACUGUUUAACUUGAGUGCAAGAGGGGAGAGUGGAAUUCCACGUGUAGCGGUGAAAUGCGUAGAUAUAUGGAGGAACACCGGUGGCGAAAGCGGCUCUCUGGCUUGUAACUGACGCUGAGGCUCGAAAGCGUGGGGAGCAAACAGGAUUAGAUACCCUGGUAGUCCACGCUGUAAACGAUGAGUGCUAGGUGUUAGACCCUUUCCGGGGUUUAGUGCCGUAGCUAACGCAUUAAGCACUCCGCCUGGGGAGUACGACCGCAAGGUUG
rnacentral:rRNA from 1 species